rnacentral:lncRNA from 1 species
CAGGUGCUGGGGAAACAACAGAAAAUAACACCCUGCCCUAAUGUGGCUUCUAUUUUAACUUGUGGACAUUAUUUUUCCUUUACAAAUUUCUUUUAGUGGGGAAAAUCUGUCCCUAUUUUUGACAGAUAUAAUAGAACUUCCCACUGUCAGGUCACGAAAAAGAAAACCCAAUUCACAAAUACUCAGAUCUGGACAACUGUGGUAAAUUAAGUAAUAAGAUUUUGCUGUUGAUUUUACUACCACAUAAAACAAUGAGGUUAUUAUAGUGAAAACAACAGUAGGUAUUUUAAUCUUCAACUAUCAAUUUUUGAGGAGAGAAGUGAGGGACAAAGAAGAGAGAAUAUAAUCUAGUUUAGGACUUAUUUGUGACCUUCAGAAAGUGACUCAUUCCCAUGACUUUAAUUUUACACUAUUAUAAACUGGGGAUGUCUACUACAUAUGUAUUAAUAGUUUUGUGUUCAGUAGAUGACAAUGUUUUAUUUUUAUUGAGCACCUUGUCCAAUAUGUUGUGUAAAUUAUAUAAGAACAUACUUUGCUCCCUAGGAAUUCCUCUAUGAACACAGGAAUAUAAGGAACAAAUCAGUAUCCUUUAUUGCUUUUAAACCCAGGUAGCUUGGAGACUAGUCAUAUCUCAUCAUGUCUGAGUUUUGCCCUUGGCUUCUCACACAUCGUGGACCUGCCAAAGAAGAAAAAGAAUGGUAUUUUUAUGGAGAAUGUGAUAUGAUAUCGCAUCUCCAUCGCACCAACUGUUCCUUAUGAGGUACCAGCAAAAGGUCUUCUGUUGUUAACUGCCUGCUUUCUCUUAGCCUUUAAAAAUUUUCAGCUUUGCCCUUCACAAUGCCAGUAUUGAAAUUUAAAAAGGCAACAACUGGCUCUUUUAAAAAUGCAAUCGUUUUAUCAAAGAUAAGCUCUCUGAAGGCAGAUCCUUAGUCAUGAAACAUUUGCUGUAGCACUAAAUAUAUUUGCUUCAGCUAAAUAUAGCUGCAGACCAAUAGUGAAAAAAAUGAAUGCCUGCUCUAAACUGAAGAAGAUACAAGGUUAAAAAUUCUAAAAAGUUGUUUUGCAGUGAAGUAAUUUGCUAAGCAUUUUCCCCUCAAAUGUUGAUUUUGUCUUAUUUGUAGCACCCAGGGACCUCCCUGAGAAAGAGCAAUUUAUCAAGUAUAUUAACUCUUUAGCCUUAUAAGAAGUCCAUUAUUAAAUAGUAUGUGAAACAUUGUCAAAAAUACUACACGGUGUGCUCAGUGGAUCUAGAAGACAAAUCCAAAUCAUGGGAAGUAAUCUCAGAUGGAAAGACAUUGCUGUAGUCUCCUCAUUUUAAGUUUUAUAUCUGGGUUUUAAUGCCUUUUUUUAAACUUAUAAACCCCCAAGGUGAAUACUCUUUGCUAGUACCCAGUGUGUACUCAGUCAUGAAAGUUAUUAAAAUUAGCACCUAUACAUUGAACUUAUAUUUUCAAUGCCCUUUACCAACCAUCAUCCAAAGAAAGUUUGAAAGGU